rnacentral:rRNA from 1 species
AACAUCGCCUUCUGCAAAAYUCAAUGUAUAGGAGGUCCUACCUGCCCAGUGACUGUUAGUUAAACGGCCGCGGUAUUUUGACCGUGCUAAGGUAGCGCAAUCACUUGUCUUUUAAAUGAAGACCUGUAUGAAUGGUGUAACGAGGGCUUAACUGUCUCCCUUCUCUAGUCAAUGAAAUUGAUCUACCCGUGCAGAAGCGGGUAUAAAAAUACAAGACGAGAAGACCCUUUGGAGCUUAAGACAAAAAGCCAACCGUGUUAAGGGCCCCAAAUAAAAAUAAGCCAAACAAAACAGCAACUGGCCAGCGUCUUCGGUUGGGGCGACCGCGGGGAAAAACAAAGCCCCCAUGUGGACUGGAAAUAUUCCUAAAACCAAGAGAGACAUCUCUAAGUCACAGAACAUCUGACCUAAAGAUCCGGCCCAUAAGCCGAUCAACGGACCAAGUUACCCUAGGGAUAACAGCGCAAUCCUCUUCAAGAGUCCAUAUCGACAAGAGGGUUUACGACCUCGAUGUUGGAUCAGGACAUCCUAAUGGUGCAGCCGCUAUUAAGGGUUCGUUUGUUCAACGAUUAAAGUCCUACGUGA